rnacentral:tRNA from 1 species
GACGCGGUGGCCUAAUGGUUAGCGCGUUGGACUCCGGAUCAAGCGGUCUGGGUUUGAGCCCUGGCCUGGGUCA